AUAAACGCUGGCGGCGCACAUAAGACAUGCAAGUCGAACGGAAGUCGUUAUAAAAAGGAUUGAAGAUUUAUCUGAUUGAGAUUUUAUAACAAUGGCUUUAGUGGCGGACUGGUGAGUAACGCGUGAGCAACCUGCCUACUAGAGGGGAAUAACAGUGAGAAAUCAUUGCUAAUACCGCAUAUGCCAUGAACAUCACAUGAUGAAAAUGGGAAAAGAGUAAUCUGCUAGUAGAUGGGCUCGCGUCUGAUUAGAUAGUUGGUGGGGUAACGGCCUACCAAGUCAACGAUCAGUAGCCGGACUGAGAGGUUGAACGGCCACAUUGGGACUGAGAUACGGCCCAGACUCCUACGGGAGGCAGCAGUCGGGAAUAUUGCGCAAUGGAGGAAACUCUGACGCAGUGACGCCGCGUAUAGGAAGAAGGUUUUCGGAUUGUAAACUAUUGUCGUUAGGGAAGAUACAAGACAGUACCUAAGGAGGAAGCUCCGGCUAACUACGUGCCAGCAGCCGCGGUAAUACGUAGGGAGCAAGCGUUAUCCGGAUUUAUUGGGUGUAAAGGGUGCGUAGACGGGACAACAAGUUAGUUGUGAAAUCCCUCGGCUUAACUGAGGAACUGCAACUAAAACUAUUGUUCUUGAGUAUUGGAGAGGAAAGUGGAAUUCCUAGUGUAGCGGUGAAAUGCGUAGAUAUUAGGAGGAACACCGGUGGCGAAGGCGACUUUCUGGACAAUAACUGACGUUGAGGCACGAAAGUGUGGGGAGCAAACAGGAUUAGAUACCCUGGUAGUCCACGCCGUAAACGAUGUCGAUUUGGAGGUUGUGCCCUUGAGGCGUGGCUUCCGGAGCUAACGCGUUAAAUCGACCGCCUGGGGAGUACGGCCGCAAGGUUGAAACUCAAAGGAAUUGACGGGGGCCCGCACAAGCAGUGGAGUAUGUGGUUUAAUUCGAAGCAACGCGAAGAACCUUACCAGGGCUUGACAUAUAGAUGAAUAACUAAGAGAUUAGUUAGUCCUUCGGGACAUCUAUACAGGUGGUGCAUGGUUGUCGUCAGCUCGUGUCGUGAGAUGUUAGGUUAAGUCCUGCAACGAGCGCAACCCCUGUGAUUAGUUGCCAACAGGUUAAGCUGGGAACUCUAAUCAGACUGCCGGUGAUAAAUCGGAGGAAGGUGGGGAUGACGUCAAAUCAUCAUGCCCUUUAUGUCCUGGGCUACACACGUACUACAAUGGCUGUAACAGAGAGAAGCAACACCGCGAGGUAGAGCAAAACUCCAAAAGCAGUCUCAGUUCGGAUUGAAGGCUGAAAUUCGCCUUCAUGAAGCCGGAAUUGCUAGUAAUGGCAGGUCAGCAUACUGCCGUGAAUACGUUCCCGGGCCUUGUACACACCGCCCGUCACACCAUGAGAGUUGGGAAUACCCGAAGCCUGUGAGCCAACUGUAAAGAGGCAGCAGUCGAAGGUAGAAUCAAUGAUUGGGGUG
rnacentral:rRNA from 1 species